GGAGCUGUGGCUUAGCUGGUCAAACUGCUUGUUUACUAAACAGGAGAUCCUGGGUUCAAAUCCUAGCAGUGCCU
rnacentral:tRNA from 1 species